UGCCCAGCAACUCCUAUCCCUACCUCCUCGCGGUACCGGCCGGAAACUAUGAGCAACUUUAGGGAAGAUCGGGUAACCAACCCCGGUGGGACCUUUGGUCGUAGGCUGACAGGGAAGG
rnacentral:ribozyme from 1 species